rnacentral:rRNA from 1 species
AACGAACGCUGGCGGCAUGCCUAACACAUGCAAGUCGAACGAGAACUUCGGGUCUAGGGGCGCACGGGGGCGUAACGCGUGGGAACCUGCCCUUAGGUUCGGAACAACUCCCCGAAAGGGGUGCUAAUACAGGAUAAUGUCUUAGGACCAAAGAUCUAUCGCCUUUGGAUGGGCCCGCGUUGGAUUAGCUAGUUGGUAGGGUAAAAGCCGACCAAGGCGACGAUGCAUAGCUGGUCGGAGAGGAUGAUCAGCCACACUGGCGCUGAGACACGGCCCAGACUCCUACGGGGGGCAGCAGUAGGGAAUAUUGUACAAUGGGCGAAAGCCUGAUCCAGCAAUGCCGCGUGAGUGAUGAAGCCCUUAGGAUUGUAAAGCUCUUUUACCCGGGAUGUUAAUGACAGUACCGGGAGAAUAAGCACCGGCUAACUCCGUG